GACGAACGCUGGCGGCGUGCUUAACACAUGCAAGUCGAACGGUUCAGAAGAGCUUGCUCUUUUGAUCAGUGGCGAACGGGUGAGUAACACGUGAGCAACCUACCCUUGACUCUGGGAUAACAGUUGGAAACAGCUGCUAAUACCGGAUACGACCUCGACCGACAUCUGCUGAGUUGGAAAGUUCUGGCGGUCAAGGAUGGGCUCGCGGCCUAUCAGCUAGUUGGUGAGGUAACGGCUCACCAAGGCUUCGACGGGUAGCCGGCCUGAGAGGGCGACCGGCCACACUGGGACUGAGAUACGGCCCAGACUCCUACGGGAGGCAGCAGUGGGGAAUAUUGCACAAUGGGCGAAAGCCUGAUGCAGCAACGCCGCGUGCGGGAUGACGGCCUUCGGGUUGUAAACCGCUUUCAGCUCCGACGAAGCGCAAGUGACGGUAGGAGCAGAAGAAGGACCGGCCAACUACGUGCCAGCAGCCGCCGUAAAAC
rnacentral:rRNA from 1 species